GGGAAUGUGGCUUCGUGGUAAAGUGCUUGCCUAGCAUGCAUGAAGCCCUGGGUUCAAUUCCUCAGUACCA
rnacentral:tRNA from 1 species